UUUCGUCCCAUAUGUUGAACUGGGAUGGGGGGCUCCUUACCCCUACGCAAACAUGUUAAAAACAUAGCUGACAUUACCACGGUUUCUGUAUUAAUAUUCCGGAUCCAAAAUAGCGACUACAGACCGUUAAUGUUCAGUUCCAUGUCCUACGUACUGCCGGAGCCGACGGUGGGGGGAAUAACAAAUGCAGUUGACAUAGGAGUUGCAGUUCGAGUCCAUUCGGAGAUCCGGGAACUCAUUCGGCUUAACUCUCUCGGUGUAACCACCUCUUCGACUUCCUCGUCCAAUUUGAGUCUAUGAAGAAGGAUAAACUGGAGAAAUUGACGAAGCUGGACGGCUUGGAGCGGCGUAUGAAAUUGCUGAUACACUAGUCUUCAAUGCCGCAGCCAACCGUGCUUGAUUGACUUCUGAUUGAUCCGUUUAUAGUUCCCUGUGCUCCUGUAAGAUGAAACUAAUCGUGCGUGUUAAUUUAUGUCAUCACCUUUUUUAUAUGCUUUACGUUGUCAUUUUAACACAUAGUUCAUGGUGCCUACUAUGUAUUGAUAGAAAUAAAGAUAAUUAAAAUGUUCUCAAUGAUUUUGGAUGUGAAUGUGAUGUUACCAGUCCACUUUACCGGAAA